rnacentral:rRNA from 1 species
UACGUAGGGAGCAAGCGUUGUCCGGAAUCAUUGGGCGUAAAGCGCGCGUAGGUGGUCCCGUAAGUCCGCUGUGAAAGUCAAAGGCUCAACCUUUGAAAGCCGGUGGAUACUGUGGGACUAGAGUACGGAAGAGGCGAGUGGAAUUCCUGGUGUAGCGGUGGAAUGCGCAGAUAUCAGGAGGAACACCAGCGGCGAAGGCGGCAUCCUGGCCCUUACCUGACGCUGAGGCGCGAGAGCGUGGGGAGCAAACCGG